rnacentral:rRNA from 1 species
GACGAACGCUGGCGGCGUGCCUAACACAUGCAAGUCGAACGGGGAGUUAGCAAUAACUCCUAGUGGCGAACGGGUGAGUAACGCGUAGACAACCUGCCUCUAAACUGGGGACAACACCGCGAAAGUGGUGCUAAUACCGAAUGUGGUAACUUGAUCGCAUGAUCGAGUUAAGAAAGAUGGCCUCUAUUUAUAAGCUAUCGAUUAGAGAUGGGUCUGCGUCUGAUUAGCUAGUUGGUGAGGUAAUGGCUCACCAAGGCGACGAUCAGUAGCCGGUCUGAGAGGAUGAACGGCCACACUGGGACUGAGACACGGCCCAGACUCCUACGGGAAGCAGCAGUGGGGAAUCUUCCGCAAUGGACGAAAGUCUGACGGAGCAACGCCGCGUGAGUGAAGAAGGUCUUCGGAUUGUAAAGCUCUGUCGUUUGGGACGAACGUGGGUAGUGUGAAUAAUGCUAUCUAAUGACGGUACCAAAGGAGGAAGCCACGGCUAACUACGUGCCAGCCGCCGCUGUAA